AGAGAGGUGAUAGCUUCUUUUUAGAGGCAUUACUAUUAUUAAACAGUGUUUUCUUGGACUGCUCACAUUUUCUCCCAGCUCACCGUCUAACACUAAUCUGUGACUAAAUAUUAAAAAAAAAGUGAGCUGUGAAUGGUUUUAAGCUGAGACAAGAUUCUCACUGUUAAUGGCUUGGUCAGAGAGAGAGAGUAUUUGUUUCAGCAUGUAAAUCUCUUUCCUGCAACGCUUAAAGCUGCUGAUUCUGGAGUUUAGGAGGCCAGCGUGUCCAGAGCUGCUCUAGUCCCUGGGCUGAUGAGCUCUCCCAGCUGGGUAAAGCUCUGUCAGGAGCCAGUUUGUAGUGAAUUGACUGCAGGCAGAAAAUAUAAAAGCUCAUAGGAAACAUGAGCCUGACUCAGGAGCUAUUUCUGUUCAGGUGACAUUCUAAUCCAAGCGUGUGGUGAAUCACUACAGCAAAAAUUGAUUGGACCCCAUAUCAAACGAGUAUUGAUAAAUAUGAAGAAGUUUGUUUUGAGUUAGUAAUAUAAGGGGUCUUUUAUAUAUAUGGUGCAUUACAACGGGGGGAUUCAGGGCUUUGUCAGACUGUCUAUAAAAAUUAAAAAAAUACAUGUUUGUAAGAUUUUAGAAGAAAAGGUACAGUUUCUCUUCCCUGCACGUGGCAAUUUGCUGAAUAAUGCAUCAUUUUGUCAACUCUUAUAUAGCAAUCGAGAAAUGCCCUACAGUGCUCCCUGCACACAGGAGACAAGAAUGCAGAUCGUUAUGGAAACAGGCUUGAAACUUGCUUGAAAUAAAAAUCUCCGUUCUAUACUUGUGGCUUUGAAGGCCUGGGCUGUUUUUCUUUUCCUUCUGGAGUAGCUGCGAUUCAUCUCGUUCGAGUGGAGUGAAUUCAUCCCGUUUCCGAGGCCAACGGGAGGAGCGAGCGGGCGGCCAUGUUGUGCGGGGGGCGGGGAGGAAGGAGCCGAGAUGGCGGCGGCUCCCUCACACACACGGCACAGGAUGGCCGGGGAGCAGCGGCAGCUCCCGCACGGCUCCCGGGCGCGCUCCCCGCCGCUCGCUCGGGGGACACCCGGCCGGAUCCCCGGGUGCAGCGCUGGAGGGCCGAGUCGGGCCCGGCACCCUGGGGGCGAGCGGGGCUGCCGAGAGCGGCUGGGACGGGCGGGCAGCAAUGGCGCCGGGACUGCGAGCGCUGCCCGCGCCGCUCCCUCGCCGGGCGGGCGCGGGGCCGCCCUUGGCCGCGGGAAGGGCGAGCAUCGGAGCAGCGCCCCGUCCUCGGGGCCCCCGGUGCCGGCCAGCGGGCUGCUCUUCGCCAGAUUUGGAUUAUGGUGGUUUUCUAACCCAGCCACAGUUCUGCAGUAUAGAACAGGUUCUGGCAUACACACUGUGCCCUAAAGGAAGUUCUGGCUGUAGGUAGAAUGCCAUGAACAAUUCCUUAUUGUCUGAGUGGCUUCAGAGGAAACGUUCAUGAGUUAUUUUCUCAGAUGCAGGUAGACUGUCUUCAAAUACUGUCAUGUUUCUGUGCUCCUUCUGUCUAAAUUUGAGUUUCCCCAGCCUGCCUGGUUAGGUGUUCCUCAACCAGACGACAGGAGGAGACGGCAGAGAGAGACCGGGCUCACGCAGGGCUGAGCAGCGAGUCAGGGGCUCUGCGCCUCAGGGCUCUGGCCUGUGCUGCAAACUCCUCUCACUUCUGCCUUGGAACCAGUGGAGGAGCACCUGGAGCACACCUGGGUGUUCCAAGGACAGAGACUCCCUGACUCACCAUGGCAGACAGGCAGGAGGAGGCGCGGAAGGGAGGGAGCCAGGUGAGAGCAAAGUGUCCCUCCCGCAGCCUGGCAGAGGGGCUGUCAGGGUGGGCAGCACAGGUGCCAUGCCCGGGGCCACUGUCUCUCUCCCUCCAGCAUGCCUGCUGUGUCAGUAAUCAGAGCCUGACCCGGACAUCUUGGGCGGAAAAACUCCAGAUAAAUGGUUUCUGUGCCCACCAGUUCUGCCCUCCCAACAGCGAAACCAGUCCCGCCAGCCAACGGGACUGGUCAAUGCAACAGGAGCCACUGGGAGGGACUGGGAGGGACUGGGUGUCAUUAUCUAGUUAACUAAACCAAGUCCCUUCACUAUGAACCUUAGACAAGGUAAAAGGGAGGUAACUUGGUUUAUGUCUUUACAGGGGCCCAAUUAAGUUUUACGAUUUCUUUUUCUUUUCUCUCUCCGGGUUGUGUUGACCUCAGGCUGUUUUCUUUUUAUGGACCUCAAAUCGUUCUCCCUUUUACCUUGUCUAAAAUUUAUAGUGAAGGGACUUGGUUAAGUUAACUAGAUAAUAACACCUUUCUUAAAAGUUGAUAACUGUGCAGAUAACAAGCACCCAUCUGCUCAGUGUCUGACCUGACAAUGUGUAAUGUUUUUGCUGUUGUGUAAUAAAUGUAUAUAUUUAUAUAGAGAAUAAAUAUAGAACAAGUGUCUCCUUUGGGGGUUGGUCAAACCCCUCCCUGAUCACCCAGCGCUGAAUUUGGUUUUCUCAGGUAAUAAAUUCUGGUUGGAAACCACUCGACUCUGGGUUUCUGUUCCUUACAAGUGUGGAUCUGAAAUAUUAUAUCAAUAAUUUACUUAUCUCAAUAUACUUUUAUAGAAAUUAUUUAUUUAUUU